UACGUAGGGUCCGAGCGUUGUCCGGAAUUAUUGGGCGUAAAGGGCUCGUAGGCGGUUCGUCACGUCGGGAGUGAAAACUCGGGGCUUAACCCCGAGCCUGCUUCCGAUACGGGCAGACUAGAGGUUGGCAGGGGAGAGCGGAACUCCUGGUGUAGCGGUGGAAUGCGCAGAUAUCAGGAAGAACACCGGUGGCGAAGGCGGCUCUCUGGGCCUUACCUGACGCUGAGGAGCGAAAGCGUGGGUAGCGAACAGG
rnacentral:rRNA from 1 species